GCCUAUUAAAAAUGAAAUUAGAUUAUGAUUUUACAAAUUAAUCACCUAAACAUUAUGUUAUACAACAAAUAUGACAGAAAAAGUAGUUCAGUAUGCAGUAAUGUUAUGUUGUAAUUAUUGUAUUUACAAAUUUAGCACCAAAAUAUCAUGAUAUAUUGAAAACAUUGACUACUAAAAUGCGUUGGAUAAUCCAGAACAUUGCAUAAGCGAGUGUUGGAUAAGUGAAACUCUACUGUACCUAUAUAUAAGUUGGUCUCAUGUAUAAGUCGCAGCCAUGUUUAGGAGCCAAAAUAAUAGAUUUUGCUAUGAGGAUAAAAUUUAGGGACAAGUGACAAACAAAUCUUUUUAACAAUGUAUAGAAGGAACAUACUUAGGAAGAACUAAAGAGAAGGGGGAGUCUGUUUAUCUGAGAGGUUAUAGUGCAUUGCAGAUCUUAAAAUGUCUAUCCUAUACAAAUAUAGUGAUACCUUGACUUAAGAAUAUAAUUCAUUCCGUGACCAUGUACUUAAGUGAAAACAUUCUUAUCUCAAAGCGAGUUUUCCCAUUGUAAUGCAUUGAAAUGCCACUGUGGCAAGGAAUCACAUUUGAGGCAACAAAAUGUGUUGCCCAGUGUACAGCAAGGCAAAACAGCAUCAUUUUCUUCAUAAUGUAAUUCCAGCCUCCCCACUCCCUCCCCCCACGCUUGCACUCUCUCUCUCUCUCUCUCUCUCUCUCUCUUCUUGAAGCAAAAUAUACAGUACUAACUGUGUAGGCUGAGGCUCUGCUGCACCAGGAUGGAUUGCAAUCUCUGGACUCUUGUCAAAACAUUCAGGAGAAGCAAUCACAUGGAGCUGGGGAUUCUGCCUUGCAGGAAGAGCCAAAGCUGCUCCGGCUAGGGAUCCAAUCCAGGUUUUGUUUCUCUCUGCCUUGUUUUUAGAACUGGUUAAGGGAGCAAAGAGGCCUCUUUUGCAAUGUUUGAUGGUCAAAACACCAUUCUUAUGUCAAAACGUCAUUCCAGGCCAAGUGAAGAUUUCAAUGAAAAUCUCAUCACUGGGCUUCUCUCCAGGGAUGCUACUCAGUAUGGACUACAAUCAAGCCAAAGCACUAAUCAAACGACGUAUUUCAGACACAGA
rnacentral:lncRNA from 1 species